GACAGAGGGUGCAAACGUUGUUCGGAAUUACUGGGCGUAAAGCGCGUGUAGGCGGCUCUGUAAGUCGGGUGUGAAAUCCCACGGCUCAACCGUGGAAGUGCACUCGAAACUACAGGGCUAGAGUCCUGGAGAGGAAGGUGGAAUGCUUGGUGUAGAGGUGAAAUUCGUAGAUAUCAAGCGGAACACCGGUGGCGAAGGCGGUUCUCUGGGCCUUACCUGACGCUGAGGAGCGAAAGCAUGGGGAGCAAACAGG
rnacentral:rRNA from 1 species